CCUCCCCAGCCCGGGCAGGGAACUCAUCAUGGCCCUGGGCACACAAAGCCCCAAGAGACACCAAGUGCAGACCCAUCACUUGGGAACCUGGGAACCCCAGAGCUUCCCUUGACAUAGCAGGCACAAGUGCCCUCACACACAACUCUUGUCAAAUAUAAAUUUGAGUGACAUGACCCAUGGAUGUUUUCAUUAUACAGGUGUAAGCUUUCAUUUAUUAUUCAAAGUGGAACUUUUCUGCUACUAAUAUUGAUAUUUAUUACUGUGGUGGUGCAUCUCCCCCCCACCUUACUCCUUGCCAGGCUUCAGUGUGGUCUGAGAAAUACUUGUUAGCCCUUGGCCUUGACACAUCCCCAGGGAUCAGCUCUUUCUUUUUUUGGGUGAUGUCAAGCACACCCAUUUGUGACAAUUACUUCGGGGACAACAUGUCAUAUCAGCUAAUAUUUAUUUACUGAUUUAGUCAGAAAUAAAUCCACAGUGCUUGAAUGAUGCACAGAAAGUUGUAACAUCAUCCAGUCUUAAGGCCUACACUUACUUUACACCAGCACUGUCAUGCCUCACAGGUCUUUUGUGAAAAUAAAGAUGUGUUGGGGUUUCUCUUCUAAAUUAGGAACACUUCCAAAGAUCUGUUUAUUGACUGACAAAAGAUCACACACAACCAACUUAUGGUUUGCACAGCAGCAUAAAAAUCCUCAGGCGCAUACAAACUUCUUCUUACACCAGAGAUGGCUGAUCAAUAGUCUGGCUGAAGAUUGGGCAAGCCACUGUAAUCAAGAAUGCAAGUUUUAAAAUGGAAAAAGAAAAGUCCUUGAAAAACAGAACUUCUGAAGCUUAGCUCAUUCCACUCUAAUGUGCUCUCCCCCAAAAACACGUGAAGAUGUGCCUCUCCUGCCACUUGCUGCAACUGGCUACCCUAGCAUGACAGCCAUUCUGAGGGAAACUCUUUUUUGUAUGGGAUGUAGACAUGUCUGCAUUUGGAUGCCCUCCUGGGUACAAACCUCCUCCCUUGUUUUUUUCUGGUUGGAGAUCCUUGCUACUGCAUGUGAUGGAGCUGUUUCUUGGGAAGAGUUUCUCUGAUGCUGAUCACAGCACAGCGGGAGGUUUUUGCUCCCUUGGGCUUCUCAAAUUCUUUUUGGAUGAUCUCUUUACCAGCUGAGGGCUGACAGAGCACAGAACGUCUGAAUAAUUGCCUUUCUCUUCUCCACCCAUGACACAAGAGCCUGGCUACACUCAGAAAACAGUUUUCUGAACCAUCCUAUUUAAUAACAAACAAUGCCUUCUAUAUUCUGCCAUCUAAAUGAGGUCGCUAUUGAACAGCUUCAUGUCCCAAGUGUUACCUAGCAGGGAGGGAAGCAGAGCAAGACAGGAUCACAGCAGCCACUGAUCAGUCACUCACAGGCAUCACCAGGAAGAAACAGGAGAGAGCCAUGGAUUUCACAGGCUACUGUAUUUCAGCAACCCAUAUCAUAUGUCUCUUUUGAUGACAAGCUUCCAGUCUCAUCACACUGUUCACCUGAGGCACAUGAGUAGCUAAAAUGAAGAAUAGGAGAGAAAAUUUCUUCUGACCUCCAGUCACUUGAGCAUCAGAGAAGAAAAAACCUCUGCCCUGCUCGAAGGGAGGUGGUUUGUAGACUUACCUAUAACUAAAGCUAUUCUGAAAGCCCACAUUAUUAGACCCAGAGUGAUAAAGAGCCUAUGAAAUUGCUGACCUUGGGAAAAAGGCAGCUUUAAAUGAACUCUGCUACUCCUACUCUCUCCCCUUACAGCUUCAGAUUGAAAUGCUUAGGACCAGCUAAAGAAAAAAGUAAUUUCAUUCAUGCCCUGGUCAACCAUUUCUCAGUUUCUUGUCCCUCCCAAAGCACCAGCCAGUAAAACACAGAAAAAGCAAGAUACCCAUGGUAAGCUUUCAGUGGAAAUACUGGCAAAAUCCUCUUGGACUGCAGUAUUUGAAGAACCUGAGGUCAACUCACUCACUGUGAAUCACUGUUACUGCUCUGCUUAGCUGACCACCUCAGCUCAGCUCAGCUCAGCUUAGCAACCUCCCAGCUACUUUCAGCUCCGUAAGUCCAUGCAAUCAGAAAGGCAUGAGUCUUACAAAAAAAAAAAAAAACAGACAUGGGGAAUGAAGUGUGGAGAUUAGUCCACACUCUGAGGAACAGGCAACACUAACAAACAGUCUGGCAAUAGCUUGUGUCUAGAAGCUGUGUACCUUCAAAACCACCUCAGGGGUUUGAGACUUGUGCUGACUUGCACAAAGGAACCCACUCCACCCUGCAGCAGUGGGCUCCUUCUUUCCAGGCUGGAUGGAGACAUGCCCUGCAUUUUGCAAGCGUGUCCAGGUGUUCAGAAAGGAACAUACUGAUCAUAUUUAGCACCUUAAGGCAUGCAGCUCUUCCUUUCUCAAAGUAAGCUUUGUGAAAUUAUAGGUAGUGCUAUCCCUACCUUUCCCAACAAAUUACCCUCAUUAUAUUGCAGUUGCCUUCAAAAUACUGCCACUCCUCUGUUUCAGACUUUGCUUCCCUCAGAAGGAUGCAACAAAUAAUUGGAGCAGUUGCAAGGACCUGCACCUGCAACUUUCAACUAACUGCAUCUUCAGAAAGGGUUCUGGCAACAGGCCAUUUUUUGGACAUGAAUAUGCAUGCUGAGGCAAGACAGAUGACUUUGCUACAUCUUAUAGCCCAGAUCUCUGUGGCUGGAGUCACAGUUCUUGAGAUAAAAUGAAAAAAAAAAAAAAUAAAAAUCAGGGAAUGUAUUUUUGUCAAAUGACAAUGAAUUAAAUCUAUUGUGGGCUCUCAUUCUUUUUAAGAGCAGAGUUGCAUAUACCUGAAAAACAGGUUUGUAAAGGAAAGGCUUCCAGACACUACUUUAUAAGAACAAUAACAGGCACCACUGUGUUGAAGGCACAGAUAACAGCCCAGUUAAGGAGGGUUUUCUUUCAUUGUAGUCACACACAAUUUAAAACCAGCUCCUUACUUGCUUUGUCAUGUUCAUUGUGAAUUUUUCCUUCUAGGAAAAUGUAAAUAAUUGUUUUCUAUUUAGGUUUCUCAUUAAUUUGCUGUUACUUUGUAACCAUUGCUAUUCACAAAUUAGAUUCUUAACCAUUGAAAAUAUGAAGAACAUCAUGGUUUCGGUGGAAGAGAGUGAUGUCAAAAAUAAAAAAAAAAACAUGGAUUGUUUUUACUAUUCACAUCUAUUACUAUUUUGACAAAUAAAUUUUAUUGUAGUUUGACUUGAUAUUUGAUUUGAAUUGAUAUUACCUGUAGAUUUCAUAGGUCAGCAUAUUCAUUUAUUUUUCUUUGGUUCUGCCAAGAAACCCACUCAUCCUAAUUCUUAAUAACAACACCUUUCAUCUUUUUUUAUGUUUUGUAAGUUAUGAGCGGAAAACAAAUUGUCAGUGAAAAAUGUUACUUCCUUACUAUUCUCUAUUUCCCCCCUUUCUUUCUUCCUCAGCACAACUGAAACAGUUGAUUUAGUUCAGUAGUUCUGGAAACAAAGAUAAAAACUGUCUUAACAAUCCUGAUAGCCAUCAGUUGUUCAGCAGAUAUUACAAGACUGUCUUAUCUCCUAAUUAAUCAGGAAAGCACAAGUUGCACUUUCUGGGCUUUCCUGAAAUGCAGUGAAUUUCUGUUUUAGUUGUGCAUACAACUUUUGAUUCUAGAGAAGCAAGAUGAUGGUGGGAAGAUCUUCCAUGGAAACCACUAUGCAGCUUCCUGACCAACAAGUUUCGAAGUCUCUGAUCCUGAAAUCUGACUUCAUUAAGGGUAAAUACAAACAGCUACAGUGCUACAAUGAAGCCAGUGAAGGUCUUCUUGAGUCUGUGCAUUGUAAUAGAUGAUGGUAAUGGGAGAGCUAAAAUAAAAUGCUUGCAAAUCCACAAUAUAAAAUCAGCAUAUGAAAAGGAAAGACCUGAAAGAUUUAAGAGCCUGUAGGAACAAAACCUGAUGGCAACUUGUUUCAUCACUCUCAAAACCUAUAGUAAAAUUUUAAAAAUUGUUCUCAUGAGGUACUAUGAAGGUGAAGGUUUAAAUGUGUGAAGAGAAAGGAGGAGGUGUUAGGGAUGGCAUAAGUGUGCUGGAUUAAGUGAUUUGGCUCCUAAGAAGCUGUGUUGAGUGAUGAGGAAGGGACAAGUAAAAAUGAGGAAUUUCAUUCUAGCCAAUGAAACAUUAAGCAGAAGAAAUGAAACAUUACAUGAAGAGUUCAUUCUCUUGCAGCUUGAUCCCUCCCUGCUGAAUGUAAGGGCAAUAAAUACUUCAGGGUUUUCAGGAGAGAAUGCACUGAAAAUUUUUGUUCCAGGAACUGUUGUAUUCUUUUAUCAGUGAUGAUGUGUGCUGCACGUAAACAGUUGCCAGGAAGGGUAAAGUGAUAAGAAAAGGUUAAAUUUACUGAUGAAAAAAAAUUGCACAGUUAAGGCUUAAAGAAAUUCAAGUCUGAGACAUUAUUUUGAGCUAAUGCCAGCAUGUUUCCUUCUUCAUAGUCUGAGAAGAGCCACCUUGUUGCUGUGCUCACAUAUUUUCAGCUUUUGGGAUAGAAACCUGCUCCUUUAGAAAGGAUCUAAAAGAGCCUCUACUAAACCUGAAUAGAGCUUUUGCUCUGCUAUUUCUGAACACCUUGUUCUUAUGAGGAAAAGUUUUUCUGUGAAAGGAGAUCUAGGGAACUUCUAGGCCAUAAUGGAGAUGGGAGUGAAACAAGAUUGAAGUACAGUAGGGAAAAACAAUUUAUUUGCUGUAUUCUUUAUGCUCAGAUCUUUCUGAACAAAUAACUGUGUAUGCAGAAGCAGCCAAAUCAACCAUUUGGUCUUGACUUCUUCCUUCCUCCUGUCUUGGAUAAAAUGUACAACAAUGAGCAUGAGGGAGGCCGGGAAAUGGCAGAUGUAAUAGUGAGUUGCUGUCAUGCUUCCUAUCCCUUUCAAAAGUGUGGCAUAAUAGUAUCUGAAGGCCUCUGAUUGUUGAGUUGAGACCUUCAACAUGGCUAUCUUGCCUUUAGGACACUCAGAGUUAUGAAGGAUGGGUAUCCACAUUGUCACAAUGGCCCUUUCUCGGUGAUUCUUCCUGAAGGGGAGUGUGACUCAGCCAGCCUGAACAUUUCUCCCUGCAUUUGCACCCAUGAAACACAAUGACAAUGGAGCAGAUGCAGCCUUUAUGAGAUUUGACCUGUGAUUCAUAAGAGGUGAUCCUCGCUUUCCAGUCUGCUCCUCUUCCUGAAGCCUUCCUGCUCAGAUUUGAUUGAUCACUGAAUGCAUUUUCCAGAUAUGCUUUUUUGCUUUUAUUUCCUCUCUCCUUAUGCUUCCUCAUUUCUGAAAUGAAGCAAUGAGGGGGAAGAAAUGAACUGUAAAAGAAGCACAAAAGCAGAGAUUUGUUGAAUGACUACAGCAUACUCAAGGAGCCUUCAGGUAAGAAUGGAGUAAUUGGACAACAAAAUAUCAUAUGAUUUCAGGACACGAUGUGACAAGCAUUCAAAUGACCUUGAAUUAUACGUAUUCAGAUCCUUCUCUGGGACCUCUUUCUGUAUCAUUUAGCUCAAAAUGAAAUAUGCUUUGUUCCUUUAGGCAUACAGGGGUUUCUCAGAUAUCCUUCAGGCUGUGUUUAGAAGGAGGGGAGGAUACACAUUUGUAGCCUGUCCUGGCAAGUGUGACAGGUCUGUGACUGCCCUCAUAGCUGCUCAGUUUCCUCUUCCUCUCAUGUGGUUUUUAUAGAUCUGCAUCCAGUCCAGCUUUUCUCAGCUCACCAGUCUUCCUGAACAUAUGUCCCAUUGGGUCCUUGACUUUCAGUGCGUUCCAGGAAAUGGUUUUGGUUUUAGAGUUGCUCUGAGUUUUUAUCUUCUUGCAAAAGUUUAGGCUACCAUAGUACUUCUCUGAAAAUUCAGACAAAUGAAAGGAUUGGAAAUAAGGCAUAAAGAAUACAAGACCAGUGUGGUGCCUGAGAUCUUUCCUGUAUGUUGUAUAUUUCUUAACCAGGAGACAUAGAACCUCUUCCUUUUCCUUUUUCUGAGUCCUCUGGUUAGGCUGAAAGAAAUCUCUCUGCAACACAGGGUUGCACACAGUGUGAGAGUCUCAAAACUCUGUGACUAAUGAAUAUGCAGGGGAUGGGAAUUCUGACUAAUGAAGAUGCAGGGGAUGGGAAUUCCUUUCUAAUCACAAUGUGAAAUCCACGACAGCUUUUAAAGAAACAUUUUUAGAGAUAGGCUGAUUAGUACUGCUCUGUUGCUUAGAAAUGUCUAAGAAGUAGACUGUAUCUAGAUUAUUUUAAAAUGUGUUAGUCUGUCAAACUGUAUGGAGUAUCCAAAAUGUGUUUUGUAUCUGUGUAAUUACAAAUAACACCAAAUAUGAGAUGCAUCACUUGGGUGUCUCUACAUUGUGUUGGCCACAUAGGACAUUCAUUUUCUUAAUGUUUCUUUUUUGCCGAAGAUUUUAUUUUACAUACUGUGACAGAUGAGUAAUGCAAUGGUUGACUCUCACAAUUAAAAAGCAAAUAUUAUCUAUACAUGUUAAGAGAAGUUUUACAGACUUAUGUUUUACCCUGCUUGCCUUGUCAGGGGGUGGCCUGGGUUCGGGAGGGUUGGCUUGUUGCUAUGGCAGCAAGCAACUGGCUUCCAAUCACGAUUUAAGGAAGUGAACUCCACCACUGGACAGCAAAGAAGGAGUUGAAGGACAGAACUUUGGGAGGGGCUAAAGGGUUAAAAGGUGAAACCUCCAUUAUGUGGAUGAGCACAUGGUGGGAAAGAUCCUCUGCUUCUGGAGCUGUAGUAUUUUCUCUAUUUAGUCUUCUGUUAUAUUUUUGAUAAGGUUUUAAUAAACCUUCUUAAAUUUGUGGAAGUGACAUGUCAGAAGAAUGCCAGCUUGGUGCUGCUUUUUUCUUGAGAACAAGAAAACCAGUUCCCUGAUGGAGACCUCAUGGAAAAGUUCUGCAUUGAUUCCUUUCUGCUUAAUUCUGGCUAGUGAAGAUGAGAGCUGCCUGCCAUCCAUUCCCACCCACCUGGUGAUGAGGGAGGUAAAUUUUGACCUUCCCUCAUCACAAAAGCCUGAACACUUUCCAGAAAUGCAGUUGUCUCCAUGAGGGACACUGACCUGUGUCCUCCUGCAGGAGAGCAGGAGGGGUCUGUGCCCAUCACAUGUGAAACAGGAGCACGCAGAGCUCGGGGAUACAAACUCAGGUGUAAAGCUGAAAAUGGAACAGCUUCAUGACCAGGAACCCAAAUUUGCACAAAACACUCCAGAGCAGCAGUGUGGGAAGACCCAUGGAGCACCAGGCUGUGAUUUGAAGCCGUAGUUUUCCAUGUGGAAGCUGAAGUCUGUGCUGUGAUCUGCAGUGUAAUGGGGAGAUCUCCAGCCUGCAUGGUGCCUCAACCCAGAGAUGUCCCUGUCACACAGAACACACACCUGGCUGUACUGAAAGCAGCUUGGUUAAGCCAGCCAGGCCUCAUUCUCCUGGAGUGACCAAACAUGUUGCAGUUCUGCUCCCACCCUAGUCCUGGACUUGCAAUGAGCUCAAUUUACCCUACCUGCAGUAUGGGAAUUAUGGUUCUUGUUUAAAGUUCUCUGUGAUCUGCAGCUAGCUGUGCACUGUUGGUUUCUUUGUUCCCUGCUCAA